CCUGGUUGAUUCUGCCAGUAGUCAUAUGCUUGUCUCAAAGAUCAAGCCAUGCAUGUGUACGUAUGAACUAAUUCAGACUGUUGAUUGUGAAACUGCGAAUGGCAUUAAAUUAGUUAUAGUUUGUUUGAUGGUAUCUACUACUCGGAUGCAUUUAUUAGAUAAAAGGUCAACGCAAGCUUUGCCUGUUGCUUUGAUGAUUCAUGAUAACUCGUCAGAUCGCACGACCCUAGUGCUGGCGACGCAUCAUUCAAAUUUUUGCCCUAUCAACUUUCGACGGCCUACCAUGGUGGUGACAGGCGACGGAGAAUUAGGGUUCGAUUUUAGAGAGGGAGCUUGAGAAACGGGCAUCACAUCCAAGGAAGGCAGCAAGCGCGCAAAUUACCUAAUCCUGACACGGGGAUGUAGUGACAAUAAAUAACAAUACCGAGCUCAAUUGAGUCUGGUAAUUGGAAUGAGUAACAAUCUAGUUGUUGUAGUUAAAAUGCUCGGUCGAUCGGUCCGUCCUUGGGAGAGCAUCGGCCGGCUUGUCCCUUCUGCCGACGAUGCACUCCUGGCCUUAAGGUCGUGCCGCUGACGCUGUUACUUUGAAGAAAUUAGAUACAUUAGCAUGGGAUAACAUCAUAGGAUUCUGAUCCUAUUGUUUUGACCUUUGGGAUCGGAGUAAUGAUUAACAAGGACAAUCGGGGGCAUUCGUAUUUUAUAGUCAGAGGUGAAAUUCUUGGAUUUAUGAAAGGCGAAUAGCUCAAAGACGAUCAGAUACCAUCCUAGUCUCAACCAUAAACAAUGCCGACCAGCGAUUAGCAGAUGAUGCUUUUAGGACUCCGCUGGCACCUUAUGAGAAAUCAAAGUUUUUGGGUUCCGUGGCAGUAUGGGGGGGAGUAUGGUCGCAAGGCUGAAACUUAAAGGAAUUGACGAAAGGACACCACCAGGAAAACUUACCAGGUCCAGACAUAGUAAGGAUUGGCAGAGCUCUUUCUUGAUUCUAUGGGUGGUGGUGCAUGGCCGUUCUUAGUUGGUGGAUCUUAGUUGGUGGAGCGAUUUGUCUGGUUAAUUCCGUUACGAACGAGACCUCAGCCUGCUAACUAGCUAUAUGGAGGUAACCCUCCACGGCCAGCUUCUUGGAAGGACUAUGGCCGCCUAGGUCACGGAAGUUUGAGGCACAAGUCUGUGAUGCCCUUAGAUGUUUUGGGCCACACACGUGCUACACUGAUGUAUUCAACGAGUCUAUAGCUUGGCCGAUAGGCCCGAGUAAUCUUUGAAAUUUCAUCGUGAUGGGGAUAGAUCAUUGAAAUUGUUGGUCUUCAAUGAGGAAAUCCUAAUAAGGGCGAGUCAUCAGCUUGCGUUGACUGCGUUCCGUCGAUCGGCUCAACGCACUGACCGACGCGAAUUGCAGCAAGGCAUUGACCGACGCGGAUUGCAGCCCGCGUCGGUAGCCCGACAGUGGUGAUGGCCCAAGCUCGGGAGGUUGAUAAGCUCGCGAACACGUAAUUAGUGCGAU
rnacentral:rRNA from 1 species